ACUAUUUUGACAGAAAAGUGUGUUGAUUUUAGAAAUCAUAAAUGUAUAAUUAAAUUUAUAUAGGUAGUA
rnacentral:tRNA from 1 species